GAAAAACAAGCAUGCUCUCUCUAUCUAUCUCUCUCUCUGCACCAAUGUCUGCCUACUUCGGGGUUUCAUACUGCUGCAUUCAACCCUGAAGAAUCCUGGAAGGCAAGAAAAUGAGGCUGUGGCUGGAUUUACCUAGAGAAUCAACCGAACAAGACGUCCAAGCUGGCUUCUUCACUCACAUGUCUGAAACUCAGUGCAUCUCCAUGUAGUUCUCUCUCCAAAAGAAUAGCCCAGACUUUUGACACGGGAGCUCACAGCUUCAGCAGGCAGGAAGCAGAACCGCUGGAUCUGUUAAGCGUGAUGACUAGAGAUGGCAUGGCAUUGCUUCUGCCAUAGGCUAAUGGUCAAGCAGAUAGAAAGCCUAUCUCGAGUCAAGAGGGUGGAGAAAUAGACUCUACCUCUUGACUGGGAAGUAGUGAGAUCACACUGCAGAAGAUCAUGUGGAAUGAAAAUUACUAUAUUGUGGACCUCCUCGGAAAUAGACUCUGCCAGAAAGCCAGCGCCACAUCAUGAUGCCCUAUGGAGAGAGAGGUCUACAUCGCAAGGAACUCACGUCUCUGGCCAGCAGCCAACAGGGACCAGCAGCCUGUCAACAGUUAUGUAGUGAGCUUCAAAGCAGAACUUCUGAAGCCUGUCAACAGAUAUAUGUUCUGAAGCAGACCCUUCCACUGUCAAGCCUUGAGAUGACUGCAGCCCUGGGCAGCAUCAUGACGGCAAACUUGUGAGAUGCUAUGAGUCAGGA